GAUGAACGCUGGCUGCGUGCCUAAUACAUGCAAGUCGAGCGAACGGACGAGAAGCUUGCUUUUCUGAUGUUAUCGGCGGACGGGUGAGUAACACGUGGCUAACCUACCUAUAAGACUUUGAUAACUUCGGGAAACCGUAGCUAAUACCGGAUAAUAUUUUGAACCGCAUGGUUCAAAAGUGAAAGACGGUCUUGCUUUCACUUAUAGAUGGAUCCGCGCUGCAUUAGCUAUUGGGUAAGGUAACGGCUUACCAAGGCGACGAUGCAUAGCCGACCUGAGAGGGUGAUCGGCCACACUGGAACUGAGACACGGUCCAGACUCCUACGAGAGGCAGCAGUAGGGAAUCUUCCGCAAAGGGCGAAAGCCUGAAGAAGCAACGCCGCGUGAGUGAUGAAGGUCUGCGGAUCGUAAAACUCUGUUAUUAGGGAAGAACAUAUGUGUAAGUAACUGUGCACAUCUUGACGGUACCUAAUCAGAAAGCCACGGCUAACUACGUG
rnacentral:rRNA from 1 species